rnacentral:misc_RNA from 1 species
CGUCUAUAGUUCGUCUGAUCGUGAAAUAGACAGUCGAAAUUACCGCAUUGAAAGGAAUCGAGACGGAUUUCUUCAGUGAUCUCGUGUCGUUCGUAUUUGUUCCGGAACAGGUGAAAAGCAAUGUGAAAUUCACCUGUACGCCUGAUUGGCUGUCCAAAAGUUUUUGGCGAAUCAGCAGCUCGUAAGGUGGUAUUCACAUUGAUAUAUACCAGAAUGAACAGAUGGCGUCACCGUUCCGAAUCUCCUGUUCCCUGGGCACCCGUGUUGAGAGAGAAAAUGGCGGCGCGCAGAGCCGAAGCAGUAGCAGCAGCGAGAGUGACGAGUAGCGAUAUCGGUAGGGAAUAGAAGUGAAGUUUAGUGAAGUGAAGUGAGCGACGGAUCAGGGCCGCGGCCGAUCGGGCAGACACUCGGACAGACGGACAGGCAGACAGGCGAGGAAGUGAGUGCGCGUAUUAUUAUGUCUCCCGUGUCCGAGUCCUCGGAACGGUUCCCUUUGUGUGAAUCAGUGUAAAACAAGGCGCGAGACCCCGAAGAGAGGCUCGAUGCACGAGACACGUACAAAAUCGUGUGCGGGUUUAAGCAGCGUCGAAGCAGCGAGGACUUGCUAGCCCUUGUCGGAGGGUGUUAACCGGGGCACGGGUGCGGUGUUAAGCGGAGCGAAGAAGGCCGCAAGCAGUAGUGUUUUGUUUCAAAUAUGCGGGAAUUCAAGGUAGUCGUCCUCGGCUCGGGCGGGGUGGGAAAAAGCGCAUUGACGGUGCAAUUCGUCUCGGGCCUCUUCAUGGAGAAGUACGACCCGACUAUCGAGGACUUUUACAGAAAGGAGAUCGAGGUUGACAACUCACCCUGUGUCCUCGAGAUCCUUGACACCGCUGGCACCGAGCAGUUCGCCAGCAUGCGCGACCUCUACAUAAAGAACGGCCAGGGUUUCGUCGUCGUCUACAGCCUAACCAACCACCAGACCUUCCAGGACAUCAAAGCGAUGAAGGAGCUCAUCACUCGCGUCAAGGGCACAGAACGAGUGCCGGUCCUCCUGGUCGCCAACAAACUCGACCUUGAACAUCAGCGCGAAGUCCCAACGACUGAGGGCAACGGCUUGGCCCAGUUGUGGGAAUGUCCCUUUGUCGAGGCCUCCGCCAAGAAUCGGACCAAUGUCAACGAGAUGUUCGCAGAGAUCGUCCGGCAGAUGAACUUCAGUCCUGAGAAGGAGCAGAAGAGAUACUGUUGCUGUGCGAUCCUCUAAUACUUAAUCAAAACCUUGGCCGAGCAGACUGAACGACGAUAGGUAGAUAGUUUUAGUUGCAAGAAGAAGAGAUCGGAGUCGACAAUGAAGGAAGGCAUUUCAUAUAGUGAAACUAAUUGUAAACAGAUAUUUUAAUACACCUAUGAUAAUAGUAUUAUUAUAUGGGCAUGUGAACAGAGCACGGCAAACUGUUACCGAAUGCGUAUUUUCGAUAAGAAAAUAAAGAGAUUGUGUCUAGAAUUUUAUUCAACGGGCAAAUCGAUAAAAUUUGAAAUAUGUGAUCAAGUGAUGCAAAGGUGCUAAGUUUUGUGGGUCUAAUGGGGAAAUUUUUCAAAACAGAUAAAACCUAAUUGGAGAAGAAAUACCAAACCAAAGCGGUAUUGAACCCAUUCUUCAAUUGAUAAUACGUAUUUUGUAGUGGUUUUCAACUAUGUGCAGCAGCAGCAAUAGCAAUAGCAACAGCAGCAGCCUUUCAACCAGUCGAUAACUAACAUUAAAGAAAAUACAGUGCAUCAAUUUUUUUGGUAAUUUUAAACAUGGAUUACAAAACUAUGUUUCCAAUUGUAACUCGUUUUCAAUAUUUGUGUUUAGAAGACUUACCUAUGUGGAGAAUUCCAUCUGUGCAAAUUCUGAUAUUAAAAUUUUUUUACCUAUGUCUUUUGGCCGGUGAGUUGCAGAUACGUGUUCGUGUUCCACGAACCCAUAUUUUCAAUACCGAACCUAUUUUUCUACCAUGUUGAAAGUAACUUGAAAAUUUUUGCUAAACUAGACUGUCAAGUAUCGCAAUGAAACAUUGUUUCACCAAAGUAAUUUCAUCAUCUUGCAAUUGACAAAGUAAGUACGUAUCUGCUACCAACACACUCUGUCGUUUUAUAUGUAUAUGUAAUAUUCUUGUAAUAUAUAGCAGAAAUAUAGGGAGGCAAACGAAAAAUGAAUAAACCCGUUGUAGUUGUAACAGCUUCGAUGCUACAUUUUGCCAUAUUAAUCAUGCCGUCAAGAAUGAGGCCAAUAAUAUGCGACAAGGACAUAUUUAGUAGAAAAAGGGUAGACGAAAAUCUUGACUGCCCAAUGUUUAUCGUUACGUACCAACAGAACCCUGAGAUCCAGUAGACAUUACACGCUUUCUGCUCAAUUAAAAGAAGUAACAUAUGUAAAGGAAACAAAGUUCGACACCGCUCUGUAUUCGUACAUGUUGCAAAUUAGGUGCUGAAUUACCUGGGGAAAGGUUGGGGGGGGGGGGGGGGGGG